UACGGAGGGUGCGAGCGUUGUCCGGAAUCAUUGGGCGUAAAGCGCGCGUAGGCGGCCCGGUAAGUCCGCUCUGAAAGUCCAGGGCUCAACCCUGGAAAGCGGGUGGAUACUGCCGGGCUAGAAUCCGGAAGAGGCGAGUGGAAUUCCUGGUGUAGCGGUGGAAUGCGCAGAUAUCAGGAGGAACACCAAUAGCGAAGGCAGCUCGCUGGGACGGUAUUGACGCUAAGGCGCGAAAGCGUGGAGAGCAAACAGG
rnacentral:rRNA from 1 species